rnacentral:rRNA from 1 species
UCCUACGGGAGGCAGCAGUAGGGAAUCUUCCGCAAUGGACGAAAGUCUGACGGAGCAACGCCGCGUGAGUGAUGAAGGCUUUCGGGUCGUAAAACUCUGUUGUUAGGGAAGAACAAGUGCUAGUUGAAUAAGCUGGCACCUUGACGGUACCUAACCAGAAAGCCACGGCUAACUACGUGCCAGCAGCCGCGGUAAUACGUAGGUGGCAAGCGUUAUCCGGAAUUAUUGGGCGUAAAGCGCGCGCAGGUGGUUUCUUAAGUCUGAUGUGAAAGCCCACGGCUCAACCGUGGAGGGGCAUUGGAAACUGGGAGACUUGAGUGCAAAAAAGGAAAGUGGAAUUCCAUGUGUACCGGUGAAAUGCGUAAAGAUAUGGAGGAACACCCAUGGGCAAAAGCAACUUUUCUGGUCUUAACUGAACUGAAGCCCGAAAAGCGGGGGAACCAACAGGAUAAAAUACCCGGUAAUCCCCGCCGCAAACAAUAAACGCCAAGUGUUAAAGGGUCCCCCCCCUUUAGGCUAAAAAU